rnacentral:tRNA from 1 species
GGGGCUCAGUGGAGGAGCAUCUGCUUUGUAUGCAGAAGAUUUCAGGAUCAAUCCCUGCCUUCUCCA